AGUAACCGGGGAAUUAACCCUUUAACUGCCCGUACCUUACAUGAUGUAAUGAUGUGGAAUACCGACAACAAAAAAAAUCACAAAACCAUAACACCCAGUUUAUCCCAGUCCUUUCCCAGUCCCUCCCAGUCCAUCCCAGUCCAUCCCAGUCCAUCCCAGUGUCCCCGUGUUCCGGCAGCCGUGUGCUGGAGGCGGCGACGCGCGCCAACCUGUCGGGGCACUUUGCGUGGGUGGGCUCAGACAGCUGGGGCGCCAAGCUGGGCCCGGUGCAGGGACUGGAGGGGGCGGCCCACGGCGCCAUCACCAUCCUGCCCAAGCGCGCCUCCGUGCCCGGUUUCGACGAGUACUUCACGUCGCGCUCCCUGGAGAACAACCGCCGCAACCUCUGGUUCCACGAGUUCUGGGAGGAGGACUUCAACUGCCACCUGCCCCACAGCGCGCCCCACGGCGCGCCCCACGGCGCCGCCGGCCCCAUGCGCAAGUGCACAGGUAACCCCACUGCCUGCCCCAUAG
rnacentral:lncRNA from 1 species